rnacentral:rRNA from 1 species
UGAGGAAUAUUGGUCAAUGGGCGAGAGCCUGAACCAGCCAAGUAGCGUGCAGGAUGACGGCCCUAUGGGUUGUAAACUGCUUUUAUGUGGGGAUAAAGUGCGUGACGUGUCAUGCAUUGCAGGUACCACAUGAAUAAGGACCGGCUAAUUCCGUGCCAGCAGCCGCGGUAAUACGGAAGGUCCGGGCGUUAUCCGGAUUUAUUGGGUUUAAAGGGAGCGUAGGCUGUCUAUUAAGCGUGUUGUGAAAUUUACCGGCUCAACCGGUGGCUUGCAGCGCGAACUGGUCGACUUGAGUAUGCAGGAAGUAGGCGGAAUUCAUGGUGUAGCUGUGAAAUGCUUAGAUAUCAUGACGAACUCCGAUUGCGCAGGCAGCUUACUGUAGCAUAACUGACGCUGAUGCUCGAAAGUGCGGGUAUCAAACAGG